rnacentral:lncRNA from 1 species
AGAUGGUGAUUCUUCAGUCUUUUUCUGUGCAGACUUUUCAGUUUCUGAUUCCCCUGAUUGCACUGCACGAAUCAAUUGGAAAUGAAUUCGUCUUGUUCUUAUCAAAGUUUGUUGUGGGAAGCGGUGAACGAUGAAGAAAGAAGAGGUGUGGCAGAGAGAGAACGCCAUCAUCAUCUCAGAGAGACAAGGUACAAGGUGUGCCCAUGUGUCUCACAUUACAUGCAAGAGAUAAGAGAAAAGCCUAACAAAGGGCACCAUUCGUGACGUGGCAAAUGAAACAAAUCACAACACGCCAUGUGUCCAUUUAUGAAUUAUUUUGACUUUUUGACCAGACAAGAGAAUUUUCAACUCACCCUCUGUUCAUGCUUGCUUCUAGUAGUAGGUGAAUUUUAAUAUAUCCAUUUAUAAUAAAAUGUUUAAUUCUUUUUUAUUUUUAUAAUUUUAUCAAAUUUUUAAUUAAGUUUUUUCCCCUGAUUGCACUGCACGAAUCAAUUGGAAAUGAAUUCGUCUUGUUCUUAUCAAAGUUUGUUGUGGGAAGCGGUGAACGAUGAAGAAAGAAGAGGUGUGGCAGAGAGAGAACGCCAUCAUCAUCUCAGAGAGACAAGGUACAAGGUGUGCCCAUGUGUCUCACAUUACAUGCAAGAGAUAAGAGAAAAGCCUAACAAAGGGCACCAUUCGUGACGU